CAUGGGCAUGUCCGUGAAUGUAAAGUCCACUGGGAAUGUGGCAGCGCUUCGUGCGUUCUUUGGGUCAGAGAGGGUGAAAACCCCGUUUACAUUCAUUGUGGGGCGUGUCUGUUGUGUGGGCGUGUUGAAGAGUCAGAUUGUUUGGGAAUGCAAUCCAAAACGG
rnacentral:rRNA from 1 species